CCCUCUUAAUGCGAUUAUAGAGAUUUUGGCGAUAUUGCGAUUAUGCUUUACCUCAUGUAAACGCAAUACUUCGAUCUAAAUAAUGCGAUUAAGCUCAUAAUCGCAGCAAGCAUAAUCGUAUUAACAUAGGUGGCGUACACCGAUUUUAAUCGGAAUAUACAGGCAUGUAAACCUUAAUCGCAGUAUUGCCGCUCUGACCAAAGUGCGCAUGCGCUUGUGACAUAUAUGAAUAACGUGACACGCACCUGUAAUAAUACGAAGAUUAGAAACGAUGGAGGGGAAGAAAGCAUCGCAUUCUGAGGAAAACGCAAGCUGCCAGCAGUCUCCUUUACCCUCAUCCAGAAACGGCGAGUAGAACGCGACGGCAGUUUAGGCAAAUAUUCCAUCAUAUUUCUAUGGCGCCGAAAAAGCGUGGAAUACAGCGAUACAAAAUCAUUAUGCAUUAGACGUAAAUAAAUUAAAACAGCGACUAGUAACACUGCUCUUUCUGAGUCCAUCAUUUGUGCUGUCCAGUGGGGUAUGUGAAUAAUGGCAGUAAAAAAAUUAACCACAAUUCUUAGCGAAUAAUAAGAAUAAUGGAAAUUGCAUGUAAACGGGAGUAAGAGCUUUGCUCUUGACAUGUAAACACCAUAAUGCGAUUAAGUCCUUACUCUGAUUAUUGGAAAUAAUCGCAAUAUUCGUGCGCAUGUAAACGCAGUCAUUGAGCAGAGGCAUGCGGAUGGAUCGUUUCCUUUUAUUCACUAGCUUUAAAACAUGCAUGUUUUCAUUUUAUUAACAAAUGUAUGUGUGUAUUAGCAGCGUUUGCUCAAGUUAAAGAAGUUGUUAAUAUGAACAUCUGCUGUUUAUUUCUCUCAAUGUGUGCACACUUUUAUAGCAUUAAAAUGUGUAUUGUUUCAUUUGGUUAACUAAAUGUGCAUUAAUAGUGCUUGUUUAAAAUCUCUUAAUCUGUGCACAGUGCUCUUUGUUUACAUUAGUUCAGAGUUACUGCUAGUUUUAAUGUAAAAGAAUGCAAUUAACUUCACAAACUAUACAUCAUUAAAAAGGUCUAAGACUCAAGCUUCAUAUCCAUCUCGACUUCGUUUUUCAUUUACAUAACUCCUGAGCUGCUGCGCAAUAAAACUGCUAGGUCGGUCCCGAAUUAUUGUAUAAUUAUUGUAUAAAAAAAACGUAAUUCAUUAUUGUAUUAUAGAUAUUCUCAUUCAAUUUAGGUCUACUGUCCACUUAAACAAUAUGUCAUCAAGUUUCUAAUUUUAUGUACCUGUACUAUUUAUGUAAAUGCUGCGUAACUUUCAUGUGUUUGAUGGGCGCGCGCUUUGAACAUUCGAGGCGCAUUUCAACUGGAGUGGAGGGAGUUUCCAUGGAUACGGGGCUGCAACUCAGCUGACAAGUAGCAAAAAACAACUCCGUCUCUCACUGUUGUUUUUACUGCUUUCAGAAAUGGUUCAGUGUCAUCGGAAAAAGUCUAGCAUCACAACCGUGAGCUAACCAGAGGCUAACUAUAAGAGGAGAUUGUUUAUGUUCCUAUAUUCUUCCAUGCUGAUGGCCGUGCAGCAGAGUUGGAGGGGACCUCUUGUCGAAGAACAUCUCCAAGACACUAUGAGCAUCUGACUAGGCUGUUUGUGAAGACAGAAAAUCAAGAGAUGUUGUGACAACCUGGACAGAAUUCAGCUCCUGAUCCACCUUCCACACCAGACUUCUUACUCGCAAGGACUGCUGUCUACUGGCAUAUUAUGUGUUCUCUUCAGUUAGGUGCAUGGAGAUAUUACCUGAUUUUUAGAUAUAAUGAAAACUAUAUCAUAUAUAUGAAGAGUUCAGAUGCAAAAGCUUCUAAAUGCCAUCUGAAAUUUUCUUCUAAA